rnacentral:rRNA from 1 species
GCGGCGGACGGGUGAGUAACGCGUGGGCAACCUGCCUUUCACAGAGGGAUAGCCAAAGGAAACUUUGAUUAAAACCUCAUAAAGCCGGAAUAGUGCAUAAUAUACCGGCCAAAGAUUUAUCGGUGAAAGAUGGGCCCGCGUCUGAUUAGCUAGUUGGUGGGGUAACGGCUCACCAAGGCAACGAUCAGUAGCCGACCUGAGAGGGUGAUCGGCCACAUUGGAACUGAGACACGGUCCAAACUCCUACGGGAGGCAGCAGUGGGGAAUAUUGCACAAUGGGCGCAAGCCUGAUGCAGCAACGCCGCGUGAACGAAGAAGGCCUUCGGGUCGUAAAGUUCUGUCCAUAGGGAAGAAACAAAUGACGGUACCUAUGGAGGAAGCCCCGGCUAAAUACGUGCCAGCAGCCGCGGUAAUACGUAUGGGGCAAGCGUUAUCCGGAAUUAUUGGGCGUAAAGAGUGCGUAGGUGGUGGCUUAAGCGCAGGGUUUAAGGCAAUGGCUUAACUAUUGUUCGCCUUGCGAACUGGGUCACUUGAGUACAGGAGAGGAAAGCGGAAUUCCUAAUGUAGCGGUGAAAUGCAUAGAUAUUAGGAGGAACACCGGUGGCGAA